rnacentral:misc_RNA from 1 species
CUUUCCCGGAAUUUUAUAUAUUUCUAAACUAGUAUAGUGCACGCUUAAUUCCUUACAUAAAUUAAUUUUUCAAAAGUCAUAUGUAUGAAUAGGUAUCAACAGGCAUGUAAGAAAUGAAAAAUUUUAAAAAUUCAACAAAAGUUAUAACUAAUGCAAAUUUAUUUGUUAUGCAUAUGCUAAUGUAAAUGAAUUGUAAGAGUUUUUCCAUGUCUCUCAUGUGUUUAUAUAUAGUAGAAG